AGACAUUCUCCGUCGUCAGCUCUUUCAUCGUUUUGAUUGUUGCUCAGAAAGCCAUCGAUCAGGCAAAGGCUUUCGGGAAACAGUCAAGCCGAAGAGAGUGGCAACUUUUUCGCCAGAGAAC
rnacentral:precursor_RNA from 14 species